GACGAACGCUGGCGGCGUGCUUAACACAUGCAAGUCGAACGGAAAGGCCUUUUCGGCGGUACUCGAGUGGCGAACGGGUGAGUAACACGUGGGUGAUCUGCCCUGCACUCUGGGAUAAGCCUGUGAAACUGGGUCUAAUACCGGAUAGGACCGCACUUUAGUGUGUGUGGUGGAAAGUUUUUUCGGUGUAGGAUGAGCCCGCGGCCUAUCAGCUUGUUGGUGGGGUAAUGGCCUACCAAGGCGGCGACGGGUAGCCGGACUGAGAGGUUGGUCGGCCACAUUGGGACUGAGAUACGGCCCAGACUCCUACGGGAGGCAGCAGGGGGGAAUAUUGCACAAUGGGCGCAAGCCUGAUGCAGCGACGCCGCGGGGGGGAUGACGGCCUUCGGGUUGUAAACUCCUUUCGCCAGGGACGAAGCGUUUUGUGACGGUACCUGGAGAAGAAGCACCGGCUAACUACGUG
rnacentral:rRNA from 1 species